AGGGGGAUAACUCAAUGGUAGAGUAGUGGUCUCCAAAGCCAUUUGUUGUGGGUUCAAAUCCUACUCUCCCUG
rnacentral:tRNA from 1 species